UUGAUGCUAGCAUGCAAAUGAAGCGUCUCGCCUUCAUACCCACACACGGUUACAAAUCUCUCCUCCUCAUCACUACGAAAACCACCUCAAAUCUUAUUAUUCUCCUUCGUCACUCUCAUCCACCACCCCUACGCCACCAUAACCGCUGCCAUGGGAGACAUUCCGGCAUGGACGCUCUUCACAUUCUCGAGUUUUCGUUUAACUUCAAUCGCUUAUCUAAAUCUGUUUUCAUUGCGCCCGUAACCCCAACUCAAUCCUCAUCCAACUGUCUUAGAGGAGGCAAGGUUAAGCAAGUGAACGACCAGAUCUCGGUGGUUUGUAAGGGAGAUGAUGAUGGUUCUGUUCAUGAAGAUGGUGGUUGUUCUGCUUCUUCAAUUCAAAAUACAUAAUAAAGACAGGAUUCUAUUCGUUAUUGCCGAUGCACUUCGUGAGAGAUUCAAUGCAAACAAGAACGUGGUUAGUUUCUCUUUUAUUUUGAUACGUAUAGUUAUGAUUGUGUUCACUAUGUUUAGUGUGGAAUUAGGAGUUGACAUGUUCAUAAGUAUAGGGAACACAGGGUAACAUGAAUGCAACUUAAAAUAUAGGCACUUCAACAAAAGUCGAAUGUGUUGGCAAGUUGACUUUUUCAUUUUUUCCUUUCAGCUAAGAGGAUCUCCGGAUAUUAAUGUUUGUUGUUGUGCUUCGGUGACAAUUUUAUCAGCUCCCAACUGCGGAAAUCUUGAAAAUAUUGUUGAAGUUUUUGAAAGCUCAAAGGAGCCCCCUGUUGAUGAAAGUGAUAGUAAUGAUACUGAUGAAAGUGAUUCUCUGAUGAUAUUGAAGAUUCUGAUCAUAGGUUAUAUACAUCAUUGUGUUGUAGGUUUUGCUUGUUUGUGAAUUUACCUUGGGCCUGGGUUCGUUAACCUUGCCAAUUAUGCCUUAUGUAUUGUUCUUUGAUGAAAGUUAAGAGUAAAGUGGUUAACCUAAAACCCUAUAACUUCUCUACAGGUUAAUCUGUAGUUAAUAAUCUGGUCGUAGCCUAUCCAUAUCUUGUUGAUUCUCUCAAAGGUUUUCUUUGAAGAAUUGCAGUGCAGUCAUGGGCUUUCUUGUUUAUGGAGGAAGGAUGAGCUAACCCCACUUGAUAUAAAAAAGGACCCUAAAAGCAUGUGAGAUGAUGAAUAUGGUAUAAAAGAUUCAUGGGAAGAUGAAGACGAACCCUCUCCGCCACAAGUGGUAGCACCUCCUGUUGUGAAGGCCGCAAAGAAGUCAACAGUCAAACCGGCUCCAAGAAAAAGGGAUAGCUGUUGUUGAAGUAGCAAAAGAGGUGCAUUAAAUCCUUUACUAGAGAAGCUCUAACAAUGAAGGUAUGCACCAUUAAUGGUAUAACCAUUUAUUCAUCUGAAAAUAUACAAUGCAAUCGUAUAAAUUUUGUUACUCUUGUGCAUGGCAUCUUGUGGAGUUGCCUUUUUAUAGCUUUCCCUUCAUUUGUAUGAUCAAUAUAGCAAUUUCAAUUUGGAUCUGUUGGCUUCUUUUCACCUAUGAACCAUUUUCAUGUUCCAA